rnacentral:rRNA from 1 species
AGAGUUUGAUCCUGGCUCAGGACGAACGCUGGCGGCGUGCCUAAUACAUGCAAGUAGAACGCACAGUUUAUACCGUAGCUUGCUACACCAUAGACUGUGAGUUGCGAACGGGUGAGUAACGCGUAGGUAACCUGCCUGGUAGCGGGGGAUAACUAUUGGAAACGAUAGCUAAUACCGCAUAAUAUUGAUUAUUGCAUGAUAAUUGAUUGAAAGAUGCUAUUGCAUCACUACCAGAUGGACCUGCGUUGUAUUAGCUAGUAGGUGAGGUAACGGCUCACCUAGGCGACGAUACAUAGCCGACCUGAGAGGGUGAUCGGCCACACUGGGACUGAGACACGGCCCAGACUCCUACGGGAGGCAGCAGUAGGGAAUCUUCGGCAAUGGACGAAAGUCUGACCGAGCAACGCCGCGUGAGUGAAGAAGGUUUUCGGAUCGUAAAGCUCUGUUGUAAGAGAAGAACGGGUGUGAGAGUGGAAAGUUCACACUGUGACGGUAUCUUACCAGAAAGGGACGGCUAACUACGUGCCAGCAGCCGCGGUAAUACGUAGGUCCCGAGCGUUGUCCGGAUUUAUUGGGCGUAAAGCGAGCGCAGGCGGUUAGAUAAGUCUGAAGUUAAAGGCUGUGGCUUAACCAUAGUACGCUUUGGAAACUGUUUAACUUGAGUGCAGAAGGGGAGAGUGGAAUUCCAUGUGUAGCGGUGAAAUGCGUAGAUAUAUGGAGGAACACCGGUGGCGAAAGCGGCUCUCUGGUCUGUAACUGACGCUGAGGCUCGAAAGCGUGGGGAGCGAACAGGAUUAGAUACCCUGGUAGUCCACGCCGUAAACGAUGAGUGCUAGGUGUUAGGCCCUUUCCGGGGCUUAGUGCCGCAGCUAACGCAUUAAGCACUCCGCCUGGGGAGUACGACCGCAAGGUUGAAACUCAAAGGA